rnacentral:rRNA from 1 species
CCUACGGGGGGCUGCAGUGGGGAAUAUUGGACAAUGGGCGAAAGCCUGAUCCAGCCAUGCCGCGUGUGUGAAGAAGGCCUUCGGGUUGUAAAGCACUUUCAGUGGGGAAGAAAGCCUUGGGGCUAAUACCCUCGAGGAAGGACAUCACCCACAGAAGAAGCACCGGCUAACUCCGUGCCAGCAGCCGCGGUAAUACGGAGGGUGCGAGCGUUAAUCGGAAUUACUGGGCGUAAAGCGCGCGUAGGCGGUCUGAUAAGCCGGUUGUGAAAGCCCCGGGCUCAACCUGGGAACGGCAUCCGGAACUGUCAGGCUAGAGUGCAGGAGAGGAAGGUAGAAUUCCCGGUGUAGCGGUGAAAUGCGUAGAGAUCGGGAGGAAUACCAGUGGCGAAGGCGGCCUUCUGGACUGACACUGACGCUGAGGUGCGAAAGCGUGGGUAGCAAACAGGAUUAGAUACCCUGGUCGUC